UAUGACGGGGUGUCUCGGCGGCAGAGAAACAAACUCGAAGUCAAAUUAACACCCCGUUUAUUUAGUGUUCUUUGUUCAUACAGUCGACUUAGUUACUUGGAUUAUACCGAGCGCGGACCCUAGUGAAGGGUUUAGAGAGCCGGAGUCUCUUCUUCAAUCUUUUCCGAGGUCUAACCGGCAGGCAAAAACCGGGUCCGAAGUUAGAGCGGAUCGGAUUGAAGAGUCGAAACUGAAUUAAUGUUGCCAAAAUGCAGCGUUUUAUAGGCCCCAUACUGCUGAUUGGUGCUAUAUUAUUGAUGUCAAUUUGGAAAUAGUAAGUCAUCAAUAUGCGGCCUAGGCUAGGGUUAUAACACCUCCCCCCUUAAACGGAACAUCCGGGAACAAAAACGGAUGUGAGUAUAAUCCAAGUUUACAAAAAUUGAACACACAGAAAUAGAAAAUAUUUAGAAAAAUAAAACAUGAAGAUUACUUAGAAACUAGAAGCAUAAACAAAAUAACUUAUAAAUUACAUCGAGUACUUUGAGUAAACUAUGCUAUUUAAACUAAGGUACUAUUUGGAAGUAACAAUGAUAGGACAUAAAAAUAAAAAUAGAGAUGACGGGAGUUUUUACAUUAUUUCGAGAUUUCUUCUUGGUGAAUCUGUGCUAUGAGGGUUGGUAUCCUUAGUAUCGUAAUCGGAGUUUGUCCUUUCUAUAGAAUUUUCACAAGUUUUCGUUUUGGAUUUAGCUAUACAAGUGUUGACGAUUUUUAUACAACAAGAUGUACUACUAUCUCUAUGUUGAUUCAAUUUAUUACAGCAAAAACACUUACAUAAUUUAUACAGAAACUGAUAUAUACUGAAUGUAGUAGUUAUUAUACUGAAAUAGUAACUAUAUCUAAUAUGAUGAAUAUAGGUUUAUAUCUGACAAUUUAAUAGAGGUUAGGUAUGGCAUAGCGUCAUCAUAUUAUCAUCUACCUUAGCUUUAGAACAAUGAUCAUCUUCAGUUAUAUUAAAAUUAGGAUGUGGAACAUGAUUACAGUUGAAACGCAGAUUUUGAUCUCAAAUUCUUGAGAUGGAAUGAAUUGAAGUAACUUAUGGUAAUCUGUUUAGUGCCUUUUCAUUUAAUUAUCAUUUUUUUUUAAAUGUUAUUGUUGUAUGUACUUUAUAAGUAAUUCAUGAGUUCAUUAAAAUGAAAAAGUAUUAUAUACCUACUUAGUUACUGCAAUUGUAAGCAUAAAAAUACUAUGUAUGGAAACAUGUAGGUAUACAACUACAUGUCUAAGAUUGCAAAUGAAAUAUUGCGAAUUUACAUUUUUAGCAAUAAAAAUAAUGGUAUUAUUAUUAUUACGGUAGACUUUACAAUCCUAAGAUAGGUUUUUGAAUAGCGGUACCAAUAAUUACAAAUAAGUAUUAUAUAUUAUAACAAUUAACAUUUAGUUGCGACAUUUGAUUAAAAUACAUCCAUAGGAUAUUAAGUAUUAGUAGUAUAUUACAUUUUUGCUUGAUAACUUUUAUAUAAUUACAAGAGUCAGCGAUAUUUUACACAUGUUCAGCUAAUAAGGUCACUUCACAAAUUGGAUUUCCGACACUAGAAUUUAUUAUUUUUCUUAGUUUACACUUUACACGAAUAAUUGUUAUUGUUUAUCACAUUACACACACUUAAGUCUUGUAGCGCAGAAUAUAUUAAUUUAUUUCAUCUAAUAGCACUAAUUUUAC